AUUCAUUUCUCGUAAGUCGUAAUUAGACAAACACUAGAGCACAUGAGUUUCGCGGGAAGCUGCCUUUCAAUUUGGAGAAGUCCUGUGCUGAAAAGCCAAGGAAACCAUCACAAGUUCGUAUCAGUUGUACUCUGAAGUUCAGAGACAUUUCAGUUUUUGCUUCCAACUGUCAAUUUUGCCCCACUGAACUCUGAAGUAGGGAAGCUCAGGCUCCAUUUGUACAUGGGCUGAACCAGGGCCCAUGGGCCACAGAUUGGGCAUCAUCGAUCUCAUGCUCACCGCCACGGCGCCACCACGCGACCUCGCGCCGCCGUCACCGGCUCCGCCGGAACCCCAACUCCGACAGCGGCCGCUUCCAUUCGUCCCACACUACCAGCGCUGGGACACAGCGAGUUCUGAAAUGCGCCACCGCUUGUCGCUAACCGUAGAAGAUGGUCGCUUAAUCCAAGCAAGUCCGUACCCUGCUUGUCUGCCUGCCCGACCCCCUGCGGGCUGCGGCAGCUCGUGCUGCUCUCUGGAUCCCCUCCUACUAGGCACUGAGAAAGGUAGGCUGCCUGCCAUAUGAAGAGCUCUGAUAAGGGUGUCAUGUCAGCCAUUGGUAUGAAAGAACCUGAUAAGGUAGAGUUAGACAAAGCUUUGGUCUGUGUGAACAACAACUAGGAGUAAACUCUUGAAGACUUAAGAGUUGGACAAAGCUUUGGGCUAUGGCCUGAUCGAGAGAUAAAAAAAGUCUAUUAUCAACA